GAGGCAGCGCGGGUGCCACAACAUGCAAGUUCGAGCGGACAGAUGGGAAGCUUGCUCCCUGAUGUUAGCGGCGGACGGGUGAGUAACACGUGGGUAACCUGCCUGUAAGACUGGGAUAACUCCGGGAAACCGGGGCUAAUACCGGAUGGUUGUUUGAACCGCAUGGUUCAAACAUAAAAGGUGGCUUCGGCUACCACUUACAGAUGGACCCGCGGCGCAUUAGCUAGUUGGUGAGGUAACGGCUCACCAAGGCAACGAUGCGUAGCCGACCUGAGAGGGUGAUCGGCCACACUGGGACUGAGACACGGCCCAGACUCCUACGGGAGGCAGCAGUAGGGAAUCUUCCGCAAUGGACGAAAGUCUGACGGAGCAACGCCGCGUGAGUGAUGAAGGUUUUCGGAUCGUAAAGCUCUGUUGUUAGGGAAGAACAAGUACCGUUCGAAUAGGGCGGUACCUUGACGGUACCUAACCAGAAAGCCACGGCUAACUACGUGCCAACAGCAAAGG
rnacentral:rRNA from 1 species